UACGUAGGGGGCAAGCGUUGUCCGGAUUUAUUGGGCGUAAAGAGCGUGUAGGCGGCCAUUCAGGUCAGCUGUGAAAACUCGAGGCUCAACCUCGAGACGUCGGUUGAAACCGUUUGGCUAGAGUCCGGAAGAGGAGAGUGGAAUUCCUGGUGUAGCGGUGAAAUGCGCAGAUAUCAGGAAGAACACCCGUGGCGAAGGCGGCUCUCUGGGACGGUACUGACGCUGAGACGCGAAAGCGUGGGGAGCGAACAGG
rnacentral:rRNA from 1 species